ensembl:lncRNA
UAGAAUUAAAUAUGCACAGGGAGAGACCACCGACAACGCUGCCAGUGAUGCCAGCACUGAUCACAGCAUGCUGGAUGCCAGGGACACUGCAGUGAUGGCUGAGAGAUGCCCACGCCUUCCUGGUUUUGCCCUGAUACAGUGGAGGGUGUGGAUGAAGAAUGGGAAGACAACUGUGAGGAAGAAGCUGCUGAGGCAGCCAGUGUGCCACCAAGCAUUUCUGGUUCCUCAUCUGGCGAGGUGAAGACCGCGCCUUCAGCUUCCCCUGUGGCUGCAAGCACUGCUGAAGGCUGUACACUGUCCUUCCUUACUGCCCUUAUCUGCUUUGUUGUCUAUCUCUUCACCAGCUGAUUGCUGAAUGGGGGUUUGAGACCUACCAGUACCAUCAGUGGAUAAAAAGUGUAGUCUCUUCCGGCCAGCCAGAUGCAAGCUAUCACCCAGAGCAGCCACCAUGAUUCUCCAAAGAAGCCUCGGAACAGCUACAACAAUUGCUGUGGCUCUGUGUGUUGCUCCCAGUCUUAAUAAUCAGACUUAAUGAUAUUCCUAAAAUGCCCUGUUUGCAAUGCCUCUGAUAUGAAUCAAUGUUUAACAAGGGCAAAAAGGGCUGCUUACUGCAAAAUAAAUACUCACACAGAAAGAUUAGGUAUUUGUUUAGCAAACUUAAUUAAAAAGCUGUACUUGGUGCGUUUUUGAGGAUCUAAACUGCUUGAUAUAGAAAUAAGCUGUUUUUCCAGUUAUAGCUUCCUUUUCUUUGUAAGUAGUGAGCAGUUUCAAAGAUCAAAAGGCAAAUUCUCAUAUGCUAUCUUAAUUUAAAAGGUAUUUUAACAUUCUGAUAAGAACAGUUUUAGAAUGCUUCAUUUUGUUUGCCUCACUAGACAAUGAACAAACUUAGGGUAAUUAACCAAAGUGAUAUUUCACAGUUGGUCUUUGCAUUUAGAUUGUGAAUGUGUAAGUUUAAUCGAAAAACUACACACACUAAUGAAUAAAUGUCUGUCUACUGCAUAAUAAAACGGAGAGGAAGACACUACUGCAUUCUGAUUUAGUCAUAUAGAAUUCUGAAAAUGAAAAGCAUAAACAAUAAUCAGUGUUGUUGAAUUAAACUUUCCAGAUUGAGCAGUGUUUGAUAACAUUUUCCUGUGUAUCUACUAAAGAUGCAGAACUUUUCUGAACAAACUGGCUUAGACUAGACUAAAAUAUCUUAGUCCUUUUGACCUUACAGUUCAUAGUACUAUUUAUAUACAGUGUUUGUAUAACUGUGAAGCAUAAAUCUAAGCCAAGGAUGUGACAUGCAAAAGAAUUAAAACAGAAAAAUUCCUUUCAUGUCAUGUAAAUGGCUUGUUCCUUAAUGUCAGUUGACUCCUGAUUUCAGGAAUAAAGCAUUCAGAUAUUAAUGUACAUGAUAAAUGGGGAAAAUAUACUUAAUAUUAAAACUAAAAAGCUGUGGUGCAAAUUGGAAACUAAUAAUGAGACAUAUUAAGAGAGGUUUUCACCAUGAGUUUACACAUUACAGACAUUUCAAAAAGCCUUUUUGCAUGACAUAGGUGAAGUAAAUUAAAAAACAAAUCUCGAACUGUAAAACAUAUGAACUCAGCAUUUGUGAAAGAAAUUCUGCCUUUAAGAUGCAGGCACUGAUAUUACAAUUAUAUUGCAAUAAAAAUAAUAAAGAACUGCAUUAGUAAUAUGCAGUAAAGUAAUUUAAAUCUAUAUAAACACACUAUACCUCAGAAUUAUCAAGGGAACAUUUAGAUUGAUUGACGCUUCCCUUUUCCCACUGUUGUUUAAUUAUUUCUUUUUUGAUUAUGGAGUUUCACUAGGGUGAGGAAAAAGGAAAAAAAUGCAAAAAAAUCCCAUGACCUUUGCAUUUUUAAUUUUUCUUGGAAUACAUUUUCUUGGAAAAUUAAUUUGAGCAUAAUUAGUUUUAUUUUCUUAGCUUAAGCUGUCAGUAGCAUUUGGAGCUCACUUGUUUUCAUUAGAAAAACAAAUUUAUGAAGGUCACGUAUUUGGCAUGAGUCCAUUCAAUUAAAAAUAAUGCACACAAAUUUUUGUUUGUCUUAAUGCUGGAAUAAAGUAAUACUUGACACU